rnacentral:lncRNA from 1 species
ACUCACUCAUCUUUCCUUCUCUUAUUUUUCAUUCUUCUACUUCUCAGUUGUGAGAAAAACAUAAAAAGUUGAGAGAAGCAACUCAAAGGCAUGUUAGGCAGUAAAAUUUCGGCAUUCCUAAGGAGAUUUGUGCAAGAAAAGUGAAGCAGAAAGAAAGAAUGGAGGGAGCACAAGUAGAAAAACACUGGAUUUGUCUUCUUGUUCUUCCUUUUUUUUACUCUUAUUUUGUUUUGCACUGAUGAACAUGCUUGUCAAAUAUUUUUAUGUUUUCAACUUCAUCAUAAUGACUUAAAUUUAUUGUUGUUAGAUUGGAUGUUCUUAGCUUAGAUUUGUUAAAAUGUUGUUAAUGAUGUUAUGUGUCUUGGUUGUUUAUUCAGUGAGAUAAAAUCAUGACAUGUUACCUGUGCAUUACGAAUGUAUGGGUGCAAUUGAAUUAAUUAUUUAAUCAGACCUAGAUUUUAAUUAAUUGACACAAUAUUUGAUUGGUGCAUGUUUGAUCUUAUUUUUGAUAAAAUUAGGUCAAAUUAAAUAAUAAUAUUGAAAAACUUUAUUACCUUGCAUAACCCUAGAAUUUAUGUGAUUAUAUUGUUUCAGCAUAGAAAUAUUUUGUUACCUCACUUAAUAUGAAUGUUUUCUUAUGAAAUUACUAAGUUGAUUUAACAUAGAAUUGGGUUGGAAAAUUUUAAUAAUUAAAUAAAUAUGAUUUCAAUAAUAGCUAAGUUCCAAUGGAUUUUUUCAUAACAUCAUUACUAGGUUUUAAUAAUUCAUAGUUGAAGAAGACAAUUAACCUAGCACAUUUAUGUCAUUGAGAUUUGUUCUUAUGAAUUGUUGUAUUUCCUGUGUUUUCCUUUCAUUUAACUUUACUUAGGUAAUGAUGCGAGCAUGAACCCAACCAAAGGCCUUGAUGUCGAACAAGCAACUCGUGAAACCUUGCAAAAUUCAAACGAGUUUCCUAGAGGGCCAAUUACUCGUGCACUAGCCAAAUGUUUAAAGAAGCUACCACAGGUUUAAUUGAUCGAGUUUGGAUAUGCACUCCAUGCAUUCCAUACGAAUCAUGCAUUUCAUGCAUUCCAUGCAACCCAUACAUUUCAUGCGGAUCAUGCAUCCCAUGCAAUAUGCUUCAUGAAGAUUCCUCCUAAACUAUUCGUGUUGCGUAAACAACAUUUAAAGAGCUGAACACAACAUUCCAUGAGCCAUUUCAUGAGAAGUAAAGCAUCAAGUGUUUUCACACUUGACCAUUCGAUUGGCUACCAAGUUCACCUAUGGAACUAUUCGCUUCUUGCUAUUCACACCUUUAGACUCUUCGUGCGACACAGUCUGCACUAAUGAUCUACAUAUCCCAAGUGUCCAUUCAGUCACCAAGGCAGCUUCAACUCAUGUUCACAUUAUUGAAACCAAUCAAUUCCAUGCACAAUCAGUUAACUCUUAAGGACCAAUGUAUUUGGUUGUUUGGGAUUAAAAAAUUCACAAUGUGAACAAGGAUUUUGGCAUCAUCAACGUCUAGAAACUAUUAAAGGAUGCUUUGAAUGAAUUAAUGGACAUCAAACACAUUUAUUUUGAUUGUUAUCUCAUGCCUAUUCGCCUGGAUCCUUGUAAAGCCUAUAAAUAUGAGGCUUAAGACAUUUUGUAACAAC